ACGAACGCUGGCGGCGUGCUUAACACCUGCAAGUCUAACGGAUAGGCCCUGCUUUUGUGGGGUGCUCGAGUGGCGAACAGGUGAGUAACACGUGAGUAACCUUCCCUUGUCUUUGGGAUAACUUCAGGUAACUGGGGCUACUACCGGCUAGUAGCUACUGUUGCCUUGUGGUGUUUGUAAAGUUUCUGCGGUUGGGUCUGUACUCGCGGCUUAUCCGUUUGUUGGUGGGGUAGUUGCUUACCAAGGAUUUGACGGGUAGCCUGCCUGAGAGGGUGACAGGCCACAUUGGGACUGAGAAACGGCCAAGACUGAUACGGGAGGAAGCAGUGGGGAAUAGUGCAAAAUGGGCGGAAGGAGGAUGCAGCAACUCCGCGUGCGGGAUGACGGCCGUCGGGUUGUAAACCGCUUUCGCCUGUGAAGAAGAGUGAGUGACGGUAAUGGGUAAAGAAGCACCGGCUAACUACGUG
rnacentral:rRNA from 1 species